rnacentral:rRNA from 1 species
GAUGAAGAACGCAGCGAAAUGCGAUACGUAGUGUGAAUUGCAGAAUUCCGCGAAUCAUCGAGUCUUUGAACGCAAGUUGCGCCCGAGGCUUGUCCGAGGGCAUUUCCGCUAGAGCGUCACC